rnacentral:rRNA from 1 species
CACGUAGGGCGCAAGCGUUGUCCGGAAUUAUUGGGCGUAAAGAGCUCGUAGGCGGUCUGUUGCGUCCGCUGUGAAAACCCGGGGCUUAACCCCUGGCUUGCAGUGGAUACGGACAGACUAGAGGUAGGUAGGGGAGAAUGGAAUUCCCGGUGUAGCGGUGAAAUGCGUAGAGAUGCGGAGGAACACCGAUGGCGAAGGCAGCCGGCUGGGGUAGCACUGACGCUCAGGCGCGAAAGCGUGGGGAGCGAACAGG